CAGUCGCCGCGGGAAUACGAAGGGGGCUAGCGUUGUUCGGAAUUACUGGGCGUAAAGCGCACGUAGGCGGAUAUUUAAGUCAGGGGUGAAAGCCCGGGGCUCAACCCCGGAACUGCCUUUGAAACUAGGUGACUAGAAUCUUGGAGAGGUCAGUGGAAUUCCGAGUGUAGAGGUGAAAUUCGUAGAUAUUCGGAAGAACACCAGUGGCGAAGGCGACUGACUGGACAAGUAUUGACGCUGAGGUGCGAAAGCGUGGGGAGCAAACAGGAUUAGAUACCCCAGUAGUCCUGUCUCUUAUACA
rnacentral:rRNA from 1 species